CAAUGAAUAACAAAUCCAAGUUUUUGAUUAGGGAUUUCAUCCAAGAGCUCAAGUUCCAUCCUAAUCCACUAAAAAUUUUUCCAAGCCAAUCUUCUGACAUAACUUCUCGAAUUGUUUCUGUUUGUUUUUCACUUCUGCCU